UUUGUGAAAAUCUGAUAUAUGAUUUGGUCAUAUUUAUGCGAAUAUUUAGAAAAUUCUAAAGGGUUCACAAACUUUCAAGCACCACUGUACAUGCUGCCUCUCUCUACCUCUCUCUCUCUUUCACACACACACACCUCUUUCUUUUUCUCUUAUACACACUUUUUCCCAGCUGGCUGGCUAGCAUGUGCAUCAUGGGAUGCUAGUCGUCUACUAGUAAUGGUUAAUACAAGAACAGCUUGGGACAAUACGCAGAAAUGUCAUUUAUAGCAUUCAGACAUUUCGAAGCCUGAUUCUGCUUUAUGUUUUGGAUCGCUGCCAUUUCCAUUAAAAUGCCAUGGUAGGUGCAAACUUUUGCACUCAACUGUACAUUACCUCCCAUACACAGUACCUUCUUCCAUACAUGUAGAUAUACAUGCUAUACAUGUUCAUCAGCGCAAACAUUUAUUAGCUGACAUAAAGGCUUCAUAAGUCUAUGCUGACUUGUUACUUUGCCACUUCCUGGCCAGAAAACACAACCGAAAUAAACCACAACGACCAGAAUUAACCACAGAAACCACUUCUGCUAAACUGCACAAUGCUAAACUGGUUCCAUUACAUGUUAGCUACAUGAGCAUUGCAGCGCUAAUCCAAGCGUGUCUUUUGUAAAGAUUUUUUAAAAAUUAAUUUAAAGAAACCCAAUCAAACCUACUCAACAUAUACACAUAUGUGCAACAUUAUACACACACAUUACACACACAGCUUUGAUGAAUUCUCCAUUCUGAUUGGUCAGAGGGUGUGGAUUAUUUAUCUUUAUACCGUGGUCUGUCUGAAUACUCGAUUCAGAUUGGCUGGAAGGUGUGCGUUCGAACCGUAUAAUCCGCAAGUAGUUCCAGUCAGUUUGUUCAUCCUUCUAAAUUAACGCUCUGCCUAUAAACAACUGUAACCAUAGUAACAUACAGUUAGAGUUGCAUACGGUAGUUAAGCUCUCGCUCUCUCUCUCUCGCGCUCUCUCUAAUAACAAUUUAUUAUAAUUCACUCAAAUAAAUGUAAUCUUGUCGCUCUACUUUAUCUCUGUGUAUGAUUUAGAGCGGGUGGAAUUCUACACCUAACGACUUUUUAUUAAAUCAGUCAUUCUAAUACGUUAUCGUUUCUAUAGUAACAGCUCAACCACUGGGACUUUUGUACGGCGGGGGCACGCAACAUCAACUAUGAGGUGAGCUUUUCGGUAAAGAGUCAUUUAUUUAUGGAAGGAGUCUCCAGUGUCAGAGGUAAAGCUGUAACAAAGUUUUCAUGACUUCUUCAGGACAGAGGAGUUUACGCUUCUGUGCGGUUUCUCAGGAGCAUGAUUGUUUAUAGCUGGUAAAAAAUGGAGAAAAUUAAUGUUAGAAAAACUGUUUGUGGCAAAUUGCUGUGGUAUGAGAGGAACACUUCCAGAUGUGCGCUUAUAGGAAAUUAAUCAACUUUGUGGUUUUAACAGUAACUCCGUUUUACCAUAACAUCAGAUGUCUUGUGCAGAUUUUUUACUUUGCCAGGUUGUUAAAAGUUGCUGAAAUCUCGGGCGAUAAUCACGAUGUUGCGGCACGUCACAUGUUUACAUGAUAACAACAGCGGCUCUUUCCCAAGCACGCAACAAUGUCCCAAUUUGGCUCGUUCUCAAGAAUCCGAACCUGAAUAAAUAUACCAUGAUGCACGCCCACUGUUGAAAGAAUAGAGGGUUCUUUCAGCCAGCAGGGGUAUUAAUAACAACAACCGUUUCCUCAUAUUGAGCAGAAUUUCCUUACGUGAUAUAUUCACGUGGCCUUUACAUCUAAUAACAGAACACGUGAUCGAAAUUCAUUAAGCUAACCUUCAAAGGUUGGAAAGCUCACAUGGGAGAGAAGAUCGAAUAAAAUGUAUCACAAUAUUGGUGUAGUACUGUAUACAAUACUACUCGUACUAAACCUCACUUUCAACAACGUGAAUAUUUACUAUAUCAAAGUAUGCAUCAUUCCAUAUCCAUAACCAUUCCAUGUUAUUUUUAUCCCACAAUACAGCAUUUUAUUUUCAAAAUAAAAGCCAGAUCGUGAAGAAAGCAAAACUGCAGGUAGCUAUACGUAUAGAAAUAUGUAGACAUAUUAUAUAGGCAAAUCAUAGAAAAUAGAGUUCUUGUUCCUUCCUCGUGAACAAAAAAAAAAUCCAGACGUUUUAUUAUUCUUUCAUCUUUCAUUUUCAAACUGUCUGUCAUUUUAGUUUUUAUCUUAUUUUCCCAAACAAUGAAAUAUGUGAACAGAAAAAGAAACCAAAACUGGUGAAUGUUUACAAUAUUGUAUUAAUGAAAAACAUUUUCAUGAUCCAUCUCUAACACACAAUCAGAUAAAGUCGUUAUAGAAAUCCCAGAGCAUACGCUCUUAGAAAAUGUAGGUUCUUCGCUCGUCCAUCUGUGUGGAACCCUUGAAGAAGCCUUUUUUCUGAGUGUGCUUGACCAGAGCUGAUACCCUUCAGAUGGUCAAUCUAGCACCCUAAAGAGUUCUUUGGUUCAAUAGUGUUGGGAAACCUUCCCCUUUUUGGAGAAAAAAAAAAACACAAAAACAAAAAACAAGUUCCAAGUACAGUUUUUAACCAUACAACCAAUGGAGGGAACGCUUGAGGGAUCCUAUUUUUUCAAGGAGAGUAGGUAUAAGUGUACGAAAACUUGCAGACUGAAACAGGAUGAGACGGCGGUGUUACCUGAAGCUGCAGCAGCGCUGAAGAUCAUCAGCAAAGCCAAAAUAGUGCCGAAGGUCUCCAUGUCUGGAAUCAGUGUCGUUCCGGAGCGUACGGUUCUCUAUCAGCCGGCACCUGAGGACAGGACGGGUUACAGCACUGUGCCUGCGUGUGUGAGAGUGUGUGUGUGAGAGUGUGUGUGGCUGUAUUUCAGGCGCUAAUCACACCCGUCCGGCCUUGACGCUUCCUGGCAGGGCAGAAAAGGAGGCGGCGUUCAGUAGGGAAAUCUCGUGGGGCUCAUUUUAACCAAUGACCAUGGAAGAUGCCUCUGUUUUCUUACACAGUUUAGAUUGCUCAGUAGAAGUUCCUGCUGGAUCACGGCACGCUAAAGAGUCCGAUAAGAUCCAGAUGCAUGACUGAGGCUUAACAAUUCUUACGGUCACGAGGAAACCUGAAGCCUAUCCCAGGGAGCAUCGGGCACAAGGCGGGGUACACCCUGGACAGGGUGCCAAUCCAUCGCAGGGCACAAUCACAUACACACUCACACACCCAUUCAUACACUACGGACACUUUAGACACGCCAAUCAACCUACCAUGCAUGUCUUUGGACUGGGGGAGGAAACCGGAGUACCCCGAGGAAACCCCCGCAGCACGGGGAGAACAUGCAAACUCCACACACACAGGGCCACGGUGGGAAUCGAACCCAUGACCCUGGAGGUGUGAGGUGAACGUGCUAACCAAUAAGCCACUGCUGCUAAUUUAUAAAUAUCGAAAAUAAUAAUAACAUUGAGGAAAGGACACUUAUAUUAAAUAUAAAUAAGAAAUAUUACUACAAUUAGUAAGAGUUCGUACAUAUUAUAGGCUACCUGUGUCAUCUGUAACACUACAGCUGUAAUCAGCAGCAAUGUGCGCUAUGUUUAUACUGUAGGUCCAGGGGUCCAUACAUCUGGUCUCAGCCUAGUCUUGGCAUUUUUGGUCCUGACAAACUGGUCUGCCUCAAAAUGUGCCUGUAGCGUGACUUGAGUUUACUUCCCACACACACACCUCCUUUUUGUCUGCACACAUACUGUACAUGUCCCAUAGUGGAUAAAUGCACAGUAUUAGAGAACACUUUAUACAGUAUAUAGUUAAAGACAGAUAAGAACACGAG